CCCUUAGAUGUUCUGGGCCGCACGCGCGCUACACUGAUGCAUUCAACAAGCCUAGCCUUGACCGAGAGGUCCGGGUAAUCUUCGAAACUGCAUCGUGAUGGGGCUAGAUUAUUGCAAUUAUUAAUCUUCAACGAGGAAUGCCUAGUAAGCGUGAUUCAUCAAAUCGCGUUGAUUACGUCCCUGCCCUUUGUACACACCGCCCGUCGCUCCUACCGAUUGAAUGUGUUGGUGAGGAGCUCGGAUUGGCAGCAGUUGGUGGUUCGCCACCGGCUAUUGCUGAGAAGUCCUCCAAACCGCCCCAUUUAGAGGAAGGAGAAGUCGUAACA
rnacentral:rRNA from 1 species